rnacentral:rRNA from 1 species
UGGGGAAUCUUCCGCAAUGGACGAAAGUCUGACGGAGCAACGCCGCGUGAGUGAAGACGGCCUUCGGGUGGUAAAGCUCUGUGAUCCGGGACGAAAGAGCCUGAGGUAAAUAGACUAAGGAAGUGACGGUACCGGAAAAGCAAGCCACGGCUAACUACGUGCCAGCAGCCGCGGUAAUACGUAGGUGGCAAGCGUUGUCCGGAAUUAUUGGGCGUAAAGCGCGCGCAGGCGGCUUCCUAAGUCCAUCUUAAAAGUGCGGGGCUUAACCCCGUGAUGGGAUGGAAACUGGGAAGCUGGAGUAUCGGAGAGGAAAGUGGAAUUCCUAGUGUAGCGGUGAAAUGCGUAGAGAUUAGGAAGAACACCGGUGGCUAAGGCUACUUUCUGGACGAAAACUGACGCUGAGGCGCGAAAGCGUGGGGAGCGAACAGG